CAAGCGAGUGGCGAACGGGUGAGUAACACGUGGAUAACCUGCCUCAAGGCUGGGGAUAACAUUUGGAAACAGAUGCUAAUACCGAAUAAAACUUAGUAUCGCAUGAUAUCAAGUUAAAAGGCGCUACGGCGUCACCUGGAGAUGGAUCCGCGGUGCAUUAGUUAGUUGGUGGGGUAAAGGCUUACCAAGACAAUGAUGCAUAGCCGAGUUGAGAGACUGAUCGGCCACAUUGGGACUGAGACACGGCCCAAACUCCUACGGGAGGCUGCAGUAGGGAAUCUUCCACAAUGGGCGCAAGCCUGAUGGAGCAACGCCGCGUGUGUGAUGAAGGCUUUCGGGUCGUAAAGCACUGUUGUAUGGGAAGAAAUGCUAAAAUAGGGAAUGAUUUUAGUUUGACGGUACCAUACCAGAAAGGGACGGCUAAAUACGUGCCAGCAGCCGCGGUAAUACGUAUGUCCCGAGCGUUAUCCGGAUUUAUUGGGCGUAAAGCGAGCGCAGACGGUUGAUUAAGUCUGAUGUGAAAGCCCGGAGCUCAACUCCGGAAUGGCAUUGGAAACUGGUUAACUUGAGUGUUGUAGAGGUAAGUGGAACUCCAUGUGUAGCGGUGGAAUGCGUAGAUAUAUGGAAGAACACCAGUGGCGAAGGCGGCUUACUGGACAACAACUGACGUUGAGGCUCGAAAGUGUGGGUAGCAAACAGGAUUAGAUACCCUGGUAGUCCACACCGUAAACGAUGAAUACUAGGUGUUAGGAGGUUUCCGCCUCUUAGUGCCGAAGCUAACGCAUUAAGUAUUCCGCCUGGGGAGUACGACCGCAAGGUUGAAACUCAAAGGAAUUGACGGGGACCCGCACAAGCGGUGGAGCAUGUGGUUUAAUUCGAAGCAACGCGAAGAACCUUACCAGGUCUUGACAUCCUUUGAAGCUUUUAGAGAUAGAAGUGUUCUCUUCGGAGACAAAGUGACAGGUGGUGCAUGGUCGUCGUCAGCUCGUGUCGUGAGAUGUUGGGUUAAGUCCCGCAACGAGCGCAACCCUUAUUGUUAGUUGCCAGCAUUCAGUUGGGCACUCUAGCGAGACUGCCGGUGACAAACCGGAGGAAGGCGGGGACGACGUCAGAUCAUCAUGCCCCUUAUGACCUGGGCUACACACGUGCUACAAUGGCGUAUACAACGAGUUGCCAACCUGCGAAGGUGAGCUAAUCUCUUAAAGUACGUCUCAGUUCGGACUGCAGUCUGCAACUCGACUGCACGAAGUCGGAAUCGCUAGUAAUCGCGGAUCAGCACGCCGCGGUGAAUACGUUCCCGGGUCUUGUACACACCGCCCGUCACACCAUGGGAGUUUGU
rnacentral:rRNA from 1 species